UACGUAGGGGGCAAGCGUUGUCCGGAUUUAUUGGGCGUAAAGAGCGUGUAGGCGGCUUUACAGGUCCGUUGUGAAAACUCGAGGCUCAACCUCGAGACGCCGGUGGAAACCGUAAAGCUAGAGUCCGGAAGAGGAGAGUGGAAUUCCUGGUGUAGCGGUGAAAUGCGCAGAUAUCAGGAGGAACACCCGUGGCGAAAGCGGCUCUCUGGGACGGUACUGACGCUGAGACGCGAAAGCGUGGGGAGCGAUCCGG
rnacentral:rRNA from 1 species